UUUUCAUAAGUGUUGAAGAGAGCAUAAAUAAAGUAAAACGGUCACUUGCAAGAUAGUUCAAGUCUCCGUCAACGUACAUCAAAAACACUUCAACAUUGUCUUUGGGUCGAUAUACGUACCAGAAUUCAGAAUUUUCCAAUCUUUCCGACAUCGAAAAGCGAUUUUUCUUAAAGUUAUUUCACAAAUACAGUGUUAUAUAUUAGUAUACUGGUAUUAUUGCAAUCAGCCAACGGUUAUUCGGAAGAAUUAUAAAUGCACCCAAGACGAGUUUAUAAAUACGCAAAUCUUUGACAUAAAAGAGGUUGCAAACUCCUGAACACGUUUAAAAUCGGAAAAUUAUAGUAACACGACGACUAUCAAUGUUCUGGCAAAUAGCUAUUUGUUAUUAUUAUCGGUCGCCUUCUUGGGCUGACGAGCUUGAAGAAGUUGGUGGGGAAGAUUGGGAGAAAAAUGCUCAAGAUAGAGAGAGAUGGAGCCAGUUUGAGGAGGCCUAUACUCGAAAAGAGGUCCUUGAUACUCUAAAAGCUAUAAUUGUUUUGGUAUACAAUUUGAGCGUAUCUUUUGUAAAUAUGGAUUCAUGUUUCAAAGAAUAAAGGAGCCUUAAUUAUUAUUAUUAUAUUCGUACAUACUUCCUCAUCCACACCUAAUGAAA